GUGAGGACCAGGGAUGGCAGCCCGAGCAGCCAAACAGGCCUCAGCUUGAUGUUACAGGCUUUAAAGAUGAUGGCGGGGGAAGGGAACAAAGGACUCGUGGUGGAUCUAGAAGCUGGAAAAGGCCACCAAGCAGACUGUCCCCUGGAACCUCUAGAAAGAAACGCAGCCUUGCUGGCUGAGCCCGGUGAGACCCAUGUCAGGCUCCUGACCUCCAGAGUGCUGGCCUGCCUGUAUGAGGAGAGAGCAUGUCUCCAGAAACAAGGAGAGAUCGUAGGCUUGAAGCCAAGCUGAGCUGAGCUAGACUCCUUCUUGGCCACCAGCAGACACUGUGACCUCCUGGCAAGCACUGUGGCCUCUGCCGGGAAGCCUCCAGCUGCCCCGCCUCCCCGCUGGCCCUCCCUGGCUGUCUUUCCUGGGGCCUAUUCCAGCCAGCUCCACUGUCCCUUCUCUGGGAAGCCUUUCCUGACUCUUACCGGUAGGCUCAGCCCCUCCCUCCCUAUCUGAUUCUCCCACAGCAUCCACACUCUUCCCUGGCAGCAAUCAUCACAACUGUCAUUCAAUUUGCAUAAUAAUUUGUUGACAUUUGUCUCCCUGGAAUUGCAGACCCCUAGAGAACAGGGCUGGUGUCCGUCUUGUUCACAGAUCCGUCCUCAGUGUGAGAAGAGUCCCUGGCACACUGUGUCCAGGAGGUCUCUGCUGGCUAGGACCAACCAAAACCUCUCUGAGUCUUAGUUGCCUCAUCUAUGAAGCACCUUUCUGGGCUCUUGCAAGGAGUAAAUGGCAUAGUGCUGUAAAGCAUUAAACAGGAUUCCUCAU